rnacentral:lncRNA from 1 species
AUUUUCCGAAUUUAUAAUUCUAAAAAUUAAUUCCCUCUCAAAACUCAAAACAUCCAAAAAAAAAAAAAAAAAAAAAAAAAACUUCUUCCCGGCGCCAAAUAUGAGCUAUUACGGUCAACCACCACCGGUAACCGCCCCUCCACCACAUGGUAGUUGGUAUUUUUCUUUUUCCGAUGAUCACCGAUAUUGUAAUUAAAUUGAAUCAUAUUCGUUUUCCGAUCAUUACUUAUAUAAUAUAUAUGUUUUUAUUGCAAGAUCCGUAUCAACCUGCAUCACAAUAUAACGCCCCUCCGCCUCCGGGAUACAAUGUCUAUCCACCGCCUCAAGUAUACCCACCUCAAGGAAGCGGAGGCUAUCCUCCGCCACAAGGAUACCCACCUCCACCGCCUCCCGGAUAUGGUGGCCAACCAGGCUACUAUCCUUACCAACAACCUCCGCCUCCCCAUCCCCAAGAUCACAAAGGGGAUAGCGAUGAUGGAUGUAUUAGUGCAUGGUGAGAUAUAUUAUCAGCUUUAUUUUUAAAUCGAUAAUCUCAAACAACAAACAAGUUUAUGAAAAAAAAAACCUAAAUUGAUUUCCCCCAAAUUAUAACACACAUAAAAAUCUAAAUCCAUAGAACAUUAGCCGAACCGAUCACAAUAAUAAUAUUUUUUUUGUUUUUUUGUUUGCAGUUUGGCUGCACUUUGUUGCUGCUGCCUUUUGGAUUUUUUUCUUUGACGGAAAAUUUGAAAAAUUACCGAGUGUAAUUUAUAGAGAAAUCAAGAUUUGAGAUUUUGUUUUUUUUAUCUGGGUGGAAUUCAUGUGAGAUUUUACUAUUUGAAAAUUAAAUAAAAAAUUACACGACUAUUUAAUUUUUAUCCAAACCAUUUAAUAUUAAAUAGGACAUAUAUCGACUAAUAAAUGAAUUGACAUAAAGAGUUAUGAUUAAAGUUUUUACUAAUUCUGAAAUUAACUUUAUUUUAUCUAUAAUUUAUGUGAUUUGUGAAAUAAGAAGU